rnacentral:rRNA from 1 species
UACGUAGGUGGCAAGCGUUAUCCGGAAUUAGUGGGCGUAAAGCGCGCGUAGGCGGUUUUUUAAGUCUGAUGUGAAAGCCCACGGCUCAACCGUGGAGGGUCAUUGGAAACUGGAAAACUUGAGUGCAGAAGAGGAAAGUGGAAUUCCAUGUGUAGCGGUGAAAUGCGCAGAGAUAUGGAGGAACACCAGUGGCGAAGGCGACUUUCUGGUCUGUAACUGACGCUGAUGUGCGAAAGCGUGGGGAUCAAACAG